CCUACGGGUGGCUGCAGUGAGGAAUAUUGGUCAAUGGGCGCGAGCCUGAACCAGCCAAGCAGCGUGAAGGAUGACUGCCCUACGGGUUGUAAACUUCUUUUAUAAAGGAAUAAAGUCAGGCACGCGUGCCUUUCUGUAUGUACCUUACGAAUAAGGAUCGGCUAACUCCGUGCCAGCAGCCGCGGUAAUACGGAGGAUCCGAGCGUUAUCCGGAUUUAUUGGGUUUAAAGGGAGCGUAGGUGGGUGUUUAAGUCAGUUGUGAAAGUUUGCGGCUCAACCGUGGAAUUGCAAUUGAUACUGGCAGGCUAGAGAGCAGUUGAGGUAGGCGGAAUUCAUGGUGUAGCGGUGAAAUGCUUAGAGAUCACAAAGAACUCCGAUUGCGAAGGCAGCUUACUAAGCUGCCACUGACAUUGAUGCACGAAAGUGUGGGUAUCAAACAGGAUUAGAUACCCCGGUAGUC
rnacentral:rRNA from 1 species